CGAUUUCUUGCUGCCUUUGAAAUUAUCCUUGUUGGCAUAUUCGUAACUUUCUUGAUACAUAUGCAAUUAUUUCGACACUGUAGCUUCGGAAUGUUUCACUAUGCAAAAGGUCGAGCAACAAUAGCCCAUCGGACUUCGUGUAAUUGUCUAGCAUCUUGCCAGUAACGCGUACGUUCUACACACCUUAACGCGUUACACGAGCAACUCGUGACAAGGAGGUGGCGCUAACAGGCAUCCACCGUAGAAUCGCUAAUGUAAAAUAUGUCUAUAUUUUCAACAAGGCGAGAUAUAAACAAGCACCACAUUAAAUAUUCACGCGCUAAGGCAUCUGAAAGAGGAAGUAACCACAACUAUUGGCUGAUACGGAUCAUUAAACAUUAGACAAUUAUUUAUAUCAGAAAUUGAAUUUUAUUUAUUUAUAAAAAGU